rnacentral:rRNA from 1 species
UACGGAGGGGGCUAGCUUUGUUCGGAAUUACUUGGCGUAAAGCGCACGUAGGCGGACCGGAAAGUCAGAGGUGAAAUCCCAGGGCUCAACCUUGGAAAGGCCUUUGAAACUCCUGGUCUUGAGUUCGAGAGAGGUGAGUGGAAUUCCGAGUGUAGAGGUGAAAUGCGUAGAGAUCGGAAAGAACACCAACGGCGAAAGCACUCUGCUGGGCCGACACUGACACUGAGAGACGAAAGCUAGGGGAGCGAAUGGG